CUCGUAGGCGGUUCGUCGCGUCCGGUGUGAAAGUCCAUCGCUUAACGGUGGAUCCGCGCCGGGUACGGGCGGGCUUGAGUGCGGUAGGGGAGGACUGGAAUUCCCGGUGUAACGGUGGAAUGUGUAGAUAUCGGGAAGAACACCAAUGGCGAAGGCAGGUCUCUGGGCCGUCACUGACGCUGAGGAGCGAAAGCGUGGGGAGCGAACA
rnacentral:rRNA from 1 species